GGAUCCAGACUUUGAUUUGGCUCAGGAUGAACGCUAGCUACAGGCUUAACACAUGCAAGUCGAGGGGAAACGAUAUUGGAAGCUUGCUUCCGAUAGGCGUCGACCGGCGCACGGGUGAGUAACGCGUAUCCAACCUGCCCAUCACUUGGGGAUAACCUUGCGAAAGUAAGACUAAUACCCAAUGACGUCCAUAGAAGACAUCUGAAAUGGAUCAAAGAUUUAUCGGUGAUGGAUGGGGAUGCGUCUGAUUAGCUUGUUGGCGGGGUAACGGCCCACCAAGGCGACGAUCAGUAGGGGUUCUGAGAGGAAGGUCCCCCACAUUGGAACUGAGACACGGUCCAAACUCCUACGGGAGGCAGCAGUGAGGAAUAUUGGUCAAUGGGCGAGAGCCUGAACCAGCCAAGUAGCGUGCAGGAGGACGGCCCUAUGGGUUGUAAACUGCUUUUAUAAGGGAAUAAAGUGAGUCUCGUGAGGCUUUUUGCAUGUACCUUAUGAAUAAGGACCGGCUAAUUCCGUGCCAGCAGCCGCGGUAAUACGGAAGGUCCGGGCGUUAUCCGGAUUUAUUGGGUUUAAAGGGAGCGUAGGCCGGAGAUUAAGCGUGUUGUGAAAUGUAGACGCUCAACGUCUGCACUGCAGCGCGAACUGGUUUCCUUGAGUACGCACAAAGUGGGCGGAAUUCGUGGUGUAGCGGUGAAAUGCUUAGAUAUCACGAAGAACUCCGAUUGCGAAGGCAGCUCACUGGAGCGCAACUGACGCUGAAGCUCGAAAGUGCGGGUAUCGAACAGGAUUAGAUACCCUGGUAGUCCGCACGGUAAACGAUGGAUGCCCGCUGUUGGUCUGAAUAGGUCAGCGGCCAAGCGAAAGCAUUAAGCAUCCCACCUGGGGAGUACGCCGGCAACGGUGCAACUCAAAGGAAUUGACGG
rnacentral:rRNA from 1 species